GGGGCUGCAGGCUGCGUCCGGCUCAGGCCUCCGAAGAAGCCCGCGCUCCUCUCUCUUCCCCGAGGACCCCCGCGAAAGGCCGGGCCGCGGUGCGCUGUCUGCCCCCGUCACGCGCUGUGCAAAGUUCAAGAGGACACGCAAAGUAUUCAAGAUACUCGAAGUGAAAAGCACAGAUCCUGGACACACACUGCCUAGGUUCUGACCACAGUUCUGCCAUCACCAGCCAUGUAAUCCCGGGAAAAUCAUUUAACUCUCUGAGGUUCAGUUUCUUCAUCUGUGGAAUGAAGAUAAUAGUAUCUGCUGCAUUGAGUUGUUCUGGGGAUGAAGGUCUCUCUUUGUCUCCCACGCUGGAGUGCAGUGGCAUGAUCUUGUCUCACU